CCCAAAUUACCUCCUCAGUCUUGGAAAAGAUUCAUUCACAGUGAACACUUGUCGCUGGCAUACACAGGUGUUUUUACCAUUAUAUAAAUGUGUGGAUAUACAGCACAUCACUCCUGUCAGUAAACCAGAGGAUCUCUCUCUACAUACACUUUCUAUAUAUUAAUGUCACUGUAUCUAUAACUACUGCUCACUGGAUGUCUCUCACUAGCCUAUCAGUCAAUAUGUCCUCUCAAUAACCUUCUAUCUAGACAACACUGAAUCUCUCUGUCUCUCAAAUUCUCUGUUCUCACAAAACCCCUCAAAGUUGGGGUGUGUUUUCUUGACUUAUAAGCAUUCAUAGAGUGUGUGACUGAGACAGAUCUGUGAUCAGGGUUGUUUCAGACACUGUCAGUCAAAGCCAGGAGCAGCAGGUACUGUAUAACACCUGUAGAAACACAAGCUUAGUUCACCUGUGGUCACGUGACAUGGCCGUUUUGAGCCACGCUUCGGAUCAGCGUUUCAAAACGCUGCGCUUCAGAAACUCGAAACAAGCGUAGAAACGUCCGUGUCGACCGUCCCAUCCUAACUACAGAGAAGGGAGAGACUACAGGAACUCCAGCGGCCAAUGGAGUCACAGUCCCUCCUACACGGACUUGUUUUGCGGCUGCGCUGAGAGUAAAUCUCCACUAUGUCGGUACGAUGAAACACUUCGGAACUUCACAUACCGCUUUGUAGAUCUAACUUACAGAUGAUUGUAAUUUAGACAUAUAAU